CGGCCUAACACAUGCAAGUCGUACGAGAGUUUUUAACUCUAGUGGCGGACGGGUGAGUAACACGUGAGAAUUUGCCUUUAGGAGGGGGAUAACAAUUGGAAACGAAUGCUAAUACCCCAUAUGCUUUCGAGUGAAAUGGAUUUAUAUUUAUCCGCCUAGAGAGAAGCUCGCGGCUGAUUAGCUUGUUGGUAAGGUAAGAGCUUACCAAGGCGACGAUCAGUAUCUGGUUUGAGAGGACGAUCAGACACACUGGAACUGAGACACGGUCCAGACUCCUACGGGAGGCAGCAGUGGGGAAUUUUCCGCAAUGGGCGAAAGCCUGACGGAGCAAUACCGCGUGAGGGAAGACUGCCUAUGGGUUGUAAACCUCUUUUUUCAGGGAGGAAUAAAUGACGUGUACCUGAAGAAUAAGCAUCGGCUAACUCCGUGCCAGCAGCCGCGGUAAGACGGAGGAUGCAAGUGUUAUCCGGAAUCACUGGGCGUAAAGCGUCUGUAGGUGGUUUAAUAAGUCAACUGUUAAAUCUUGAGGCUCAACUUCAAAAUCGCAGUCGAAACUAUUAGACUAGAGUAUAGUAGAGGUAAAGGGAAUUUCCAGUGGAGCGGUGAAAUGCGUAGAUAUUGGAAAGAACACCGAUGGCGAAAGCACUUUACUGGGCUAUUAUUAACACUCAGAGACGAAAGCUAGGGUAGCAAAUGGGAU
rnacentral:rRNA from 1 species